CUCUCUCUCUUUAAUUAAGAGAAUACAUUUAUCUUAUCCUUACUUCCUAGGCAACCCCGGUGCUUCUAGUCCACUAAAGAACUCUGGGUUGCUUCUAAAGAAAUGUAAAUCACAACCACCACCGUACUGCCUGCGUUGCGUCUGGUACUACGGAUUACGGGUCAGAGCUGCGGGACCGGACUGUGAACUGCUGCCCUCGGGAACUGCGAACCACCCGAGAGCAAGAGGGAGACCAGAUGUGGCAGAAGCUGGGCAGUCGUCCCCUCCCACACAUUAACAUUAAUCCCGAGAGGGCAAGAAAGGGAUUGCUGAAGAUGUUUGAAAAAAGAAAAAACCGUUCUGGGGCAUCAUGGGUGAUUCUUCCAAACCAGGAAUUCGGACUGGAGCCAAUAACGCGGAAACAUAUAUAGGGUCGGGCCUGGAACUCAGCAGAGAGGCAUCCUUUCCCACCACGUCCCACACUGGAGGCCGCCCGAGUACCAUCUCACGACUGAGGGUCUUGACAACUGUGGAGGCCCCACUGCGGCCUGCAGCCCUGCCCUGUCGGAUGAAUGGCGUGACUGUGGACGCAAAGGCUCCCUAGGAAGCUUGCUGCCUAGGGGGACUUAUGAGUGGGCCUCUGUCCCCUAGGCCGGUGGAAGUCACCACAAGAGAGGAGUUCUGACAAAGAGGCGCGCCUCUGCAGGCCUGCUGGAUGCUCAACCUAAGGCUGCGUCCACGCAAGCCGACCAGGGCAGAAUGUGUGCAUGGACCCACAUAGAACAAAACAGAGCAUGGCUCUGUGGUGAUGGAGUGAUUUCGCACCCCCUUAACCGAGAGGACCUGGGGUUAGCUGCACGUGGCAGGGACCCGAGUGGAUAACUGCUCUGACCUCCCCAGGGGAGCAGCAGGGUGGUUUGCCCGGAGUUCGCACGUGAGGCCGGAGGGCGGGUGCUCCUGAGGAGCAAGGACACGUGGGCACCAGCGUGGGCAGCGGGCACACUCGGGCAUGGCUGGGGCCGGGCCGCCAGGGGGCACCCCACACAUUCUCCAUUUCUCCCUAGGUUGGGAACCUCCUAGAGGGUCCAGAGCCCGUGAGACACGGAGCCCGCUCACUGCCUCUUUGGCCGUGUAGUUUGUCACAGGAGUUGCCACAUUCCUGUGGUACCUGUGGUGGACUCUCAAGUUGUCUCAUAGGCCCCAUUCCCCAGCUUCCCGCGAAAUCCUGGCUGUGCUCUGGGGUCCCCAACUCCUCUGCCCAUUCUCUGGGGUCAGGCUCCUGGAGACAAAGGAGAGCAAGCAUCUUUAACCACAAGAGCGAGGCAAGUGCCACCGCCUAGGGAUGGUAGAGCGACACCCCUGCAGCCACCCCAGUGGCCCCAACAGCUAAAGGUUCCACCUUGCUUUUCCCAGCCCAAGCACAAAACACCUAGCAGGUAGGCAUUACUACACCAGGGUGGGUGUGUGGCCUGCCACCCUGCUCCUCUCCAGGGCUCAUUCUGUACACAAUGAUGCCAUUUUCCAACCUUACCGCACAGGGAG